rnacentral:rRNA from 1 species
GAUGAACGCUAGCUACAGGCUUAACACAUGCAAGUCGAGGGGCAGCACAGUGUAGCAAUACACGGGUGGCGACCGGCGCACGGGUGCGUAACGCGUAUCCAACCUUCCCGUUACUCUUGGAUAGCCUUCCGAAAGGGAGAUUAAUACCAAGAUGGUAUUCAAAUUCCGCAUGUUAUUUGAAUUAAAGAUUUAUCGGUAACGGAUGGGGAUGCGUGACAUUAGAUAGUAGGCGGGGUAACGGCCCACCUAGUCUACGAUGUCUAGGGGUUCUGAGAGGAAGGUCCCCCANACUGGAACUGAGACACGGUCCAGACUCCUACGGGAGGCAGCAGUGAGGAAUAUUGGUCAAUGGUCGGAAGACUGAACCAGCCCAAGUAGCGUGAAGGAUGAAGGUUCUAUGGAUUGAAACUUCUUUUAUACGGGAAUAAAACCUCCCACGUGUGGGAGCUUGUAUGUACCGUAUGAAUAAGCAUCGGCUAACUCCGUG